ensembl:lncRNA
CUGCAAUUUGACAUACCAGGUAUCAAGCAGAAAUGUACUUGAAAAAUAUAAAAUAAUUUUGGUGCCCAUCAAUAUUACAAAAUUACAGUAUCAAAUUUAUGCUUAUAUAUUAUGUUAACUAAUAGCAAAGAAAAGUAUUGGAAUUGGCCUAAUCAAGACCAAAUUAAAUCUGUGUGACAUGAUACCCUUUGGAUUUAUCAUUUAAGAAUGUCAGUGUACUAGUUAGUACACAGUCCGGGUUUUAAUCAUGACCAGAGGGACCUCCUAAGAGCCAAAUUAUCCUAGGUAGAUUUAAAACAGCAUAAUUCUGAGGUUCUGAUGAGAACUGGCAAAAGUUUUCACAAACUCCAUCCAUUUUGAGUGAGCGUGCCCUCCUUGACUCAACACUGAGAAUUCCGAGGUGACUUAACCUGUCAUCAACCAUUGUUGUCCAAAGGUGGGUUUUAAUCCGUUUUAAAGCUGAGAAGCUUCUCUCGCAAGAAGCACUGCUGACUGGUGUAACAAGAGAAAUCUUACAAAGUCGAAACAGCUCAUGGAAGACCUCUUUAUAAGGUUCUAGAAACACAACAAAGUCAUAGAGUAGACGGUCUGUCCCUUCCACUUUUCUCUCUCCUAUCAAGAAGCUGCUUGGUUUGAUGAACCUCAUGUUUUGAGGUCCUCUAAAUCUGACUCAAAGGUCUGAGCAAAGGCAAACAGAGUCUUCUCAUUCAAGAAUGUUGUACUCUUUGGGUUGUGAGACUGGACCCCUUGCAUUAUCUCACAAUUCUUCUUUGAAAAACACCUCUGCAGCUCAGCUGUGAGACUGUCAAGCGCCUGACAAAAGAUUGCUCUUUGGAAGCUCUCACCAUCACUUUGGUCUCUAUUUUUCUGUCCUACAGUGCUCAUCAUCAGUGAGUCGUGAAAUCUUAAGCUUGUUUUAGGCUGUCUUUUGCACACUGUUUGUACACUUAUUUUGCAGUGCUCUGCAAUCUCUUCAACCUCUUUCCAUAGUUCUCCAUAGUAACCCUCACUUCUGUAGUCCUGUAAUGUGUCUGUAAAGGUACCUACUAGAUCCACAGCCCUUGCUAGGUCAAGAGAGCUUGAUUGGAACAUGUCAGAAAGACAUUUGGCAUCACCAAGCACUUUCCAAAAGGUAACCAAAAGCCCUAUGAAAAGUAAAUCUAUCUGAGAAAGAAGGUCCCUUGCCUCCACUGAUCUAUCAACACUAUUUUCAAGUGUGAUAUCCUGUAGCACUCUCAGAACUGCUGGAAGCCUGUCCUUCAGAUUAUGGCAUUCCAUGUAUCUGUGUAGCAAAUGUGAAAGUGCUAGCUAGUUAGCAGUGGUGCGCGCUAGUGGCGUUUCAAUCGGUGACGUCACUUGCUCUGAGACCUUGAAGUAGUGGUUCCCCUUGCUCUGCAAGGGCCGCGGCUUUUGUGGAGUGAUGGAUAACGAUCACGGGGACGCUCUGACGUUCUAUACUGUUACAUUGAUGCUGUUGACCUGGAUCACUGAUUGCUGCGGGUGACUGUUGACGUGUGCAGAGCGUCCCUGGUUCGCACCCAGGUCGGCGCGAGGGGACGGACGUAAAGUCUAUACUGUUACAUCUGCAUGCCCACCUUACAUCCGUAAGUCUCUAUAGUUCCCUGGGCUGAUGCUGUGGAUACAGCUCUUUCUGAACUGCAAGCCACUUGAGAUAAACGUACGAGCCAGAUACAAAGUUAUAAAGCUUCUGCAGGAGAGCAAAAAAGUGAACUGAUUCAGACACUGAUUUUACAGCAUCGAUGCACAUUCAAAUGCACACAAAAUGCACACCUUGCACUGUUUUUAAUCUGUGCAGACACACCCGAAUGCUUUCCGCUCACAAGAUUAUUUCUGCAGUCCAGGCCAUGUUUUUCAAGGCAAUCAAUUAUAAUUUUUGUGAGACCUGCUGCAUCUAAGCUUUCAUCUGACUGAAAAUGUCAAACGCUUUCAUGGAUAGUACCUCACAAAUAAAGACUUAUUUUUUUCUUUAAAUCUUUGGUUUCAUCUGCAAUUACACUAAAAACUUCCCUUUCAUUUACUUCUCUUAUUAUUUCACUUUGUACUAUCUCAGCUAAGCCCUCAAGAACUUUGUUCUGGAUUUGAUGGCUUGUGUACUUAGCAUUGCCACAUGCAUUCAUCCUUUUCUCUAUGAGGGUCAUGCUUUGCUAUUUCUUCUAAGAUUGUCAAAACAUUACCCUUGUUGUGACCUCUCUGCGCUUUAUUUUGAGUGGCAGUUAAUAGGAGCACAUCUGCAAUUGUUUUAAUGUAAGUACAGAUUUCCUCCACUUUCUUUUUCCGGUCCUCAUUUAUGACAUCUAACAUUGAUGAGUUGCUGUCUAUAGCCCUUUUAUGCUGAUUCCAAGCAUACAUAGCGUUGAUAUGAUGCUUUGCCUUCGAAUGGAGCUUAAAACCCAGAAUCUUUAAACAGCGUCUUUUUCCAGUUACAAAAACCUGACUGUGAUGUGAAGGCAGAUUCAGGUGUAUUGAGCAGAGAAACAUGACUGUGAUGUGAAGGCAGAUUCAGGUGUAUUGAACAGAGAAACAUAACUGUGAUGUGAAGGCAGAUUCAGGUGUAUUGGGCAGAGAAAAAUGCCUACAGGCGAAACAACAAGUUGAAUCUUGAUUUACAGAAUAUUCAAGCCAUGAACUGUCCUUAUACCAGGAGCUGUUGACAGCCCUUUUCCUAGUACCAUGCUGAGUUUUGGCAAAUGUUUUCAAACACGGCUGUACAGGACCCUCUUCUCUGGAUCUUGAAAUGU